UACGUAGGGUGCGAGCGUUAAUCGGAAUUACUGGGCGUAAAGCGUGCGCAGGCGGUUUUGUAAGCCAGAUGUGAAAUCCCCGGGCUCAACCUGGGAAUGGCAUUUGGGACUGCAAGGCUUGAGUGCGGCAGAGGAGACUGGAAUUCCUGGUGUAGCAGUGAAAUGCGCAGAUAUCAGGAAGAACACCCGUGGCUAAGGCGGCUCUCUAGUACGGUACUGACGCUGAGACGCGAAAGCGUGGGGAGCGAACAGG
rnacentral:rRNA from 1 species